AGACUGAAAUUUUACAUUUUUAUACUAAACACCAUGUUUAGACUCUGAAUUUUUUCCAUAUAAUUUUAUUUUAAAAGGCAAAGACUUUUUUCCUAAAUCGGUCUCAAGGACUUAUUUAUUAUAUGGAAAAAAAUUCAGAGUCUAAACAUGGUGUUUAGUAUAAAAAUGUAAAAUUUCAGUCU
rnacentral:pre_miRNA from 1 species